CAAAUGUUCUUCUUAAUUGAAAUUGAUAGCGCAAACAGGCGGCUAUGGGAGUUCCCCUUGGCACCAGUUGAUUUUUUGUAAUUCGUAAGUGCAAUUGAUAGAGCAACAGAAGCAAGGGUUUCGCACCAAUUGAUCUUCUAUUGCAGUGAUUUCUACUCAAUUUCUUCAUCCCAAGGGAAUCGGCGAAGGUGGGUGGACGUAGGGGGGCAGGGACGGACAAUGAGGGUAAGGGAUGAGAAAAUGAAUUAGACGAGGCUAUGAGGGAGAUAGGGCUGGGGGAUAUGGGACAGAGUUGAGGAAAGAGGAAACGAGACGAGUGGAAGGGUUUCUCUGGGCACAUCUUGUGUUGCAGUGAUUUCUACUCAACUUCUUCAUCUCCAAACUUGGAAGUAGCGAUUUCUCUUGAAAAUGUCCUCUUGAAAUUUUGAUGGGGUUGUAUGUGAUUUUCUCCUUGCCUUUGGAACCGGCUGCCCCUCAAGUGCAAUAGUCCGGCCAUUGGAGAGUGUAGUAAAAAGGGCAUCAGACUCAGAAAUGGAGCAAACUUGCUCUCAACCAGGCGCUGCAGCUUCCUCAUGUCUCCAUAUUCUGUUGCCUUCUAGACGUCAUUCUGCAGGCUCUCAUCAUCCACUGGCUGCUUCUGAUAUCUCAAUUCCACUUCUUCCACUACCUCGACUUCCAAUGCCAUAUUAAAUAUUCGAAAAGUGGGAUUUUUUCUUGGGAACUCAGAAUAUUCUUCAAAGCAAUAAAUUGAUCAAAGAAUUUAGUUAAUAUAGGGGUUUUCUUGGUAGGAGAGGUAGUUGACUGGAUUGGUAUAAGGGAUUGAAGAAACAGUGGAAGUCAGAAGAAGCCAACUCCCUGUGUUUCGGAACUUCUACUACAAAUAUGUUUUGCUGUCUAGGACAUUGAGGGAAAAAAUAAUGAAAGAUAUAUUGGGGGUUAUUAGUUCUUUUUGCUCUUAAUAAUUAUUGAGGCUCCUCGCACUUGGAGAAAGAUAAAAGUACGAUUUACACAGCAAUUGAUACGUUUUAUCUGACAGAAGAAGAGCUACAGAAAUCGCCCUCUAGGAGAGAUGGGAUAGAUGAAGCUAUAGAAAUGACACUUCGAAUCUAUGGUUGUGAUCUCAUUCAAGAGAGCGGUAUUUUGCUCAAAUUGCCUCAAGCUGUGAUGGCCACUGGUCAGGUCUUAUUCCAUCGUUUCUUCUGCAAGAAGUCAUUUGCUAGAUUUAACGUGAAGAGGGUUGCUGCGAGUUGUGUAUGGCUUGCUUCAAAACUCGAAGAAAGUCCUAGGAAAGCAAGGCAAGUCUUCAUUGUUUUUCACAGGAUGGAAUGUAGAAGGGAAAACUUACCCAUAGAGCAUCUGGACACAUAUUCUAAGAAAUAUGUGGUUCUGAAGGUAGAUUUGAUCAGAACAGAGAGGCAUCUUUUGAAAGAAAUGGGUUUCAUCUGCCAUGUUGAGCAUCCUAAUAAGUUUAUAUCGAAUUAUCUUGCUACUCUUGGAACUCCUCCAGUACUGAGACAAGAAGCUUGGAAUCUUGCAAAUGAUAGCUUGCACACAACUUUGUGUGUUAGAUUCAAGAGUGAAGUUGUAGCCUGUGGUGUUGUAUAUGCUGCAGCUCGAAGAUUUCAAGUGUCACUGCCAGAGAGUCCUCCUUGGUGGAAAGCAUUUGAUGCUGAUAAGUCUGGUAUAGAUGAGGUUUGUAGAGUACUGGCCCACCUAUACACCCUUCCAAAGGCACAUUAUAUACCUGUAUGCAAGGAACGGGGUUUAUUUUCAACAUCUAAUCGAUCAUGGGAUUCACCACAUGAGUUUGUUGCCAAGGAUCGUUCCUUGACUGGACCAGCUGCAAAUGAAGAUAGUAGUACCGCAAAAGGGUCCUCUUCAGCUGCAAAUCAGGAAGUGGGUAAGGAUGUACUAGUAAAAGCUGCUUAUGACAAGAUUGAGGAGUUGAAGAGUGCCGAUGACUCUAAAAGCUUGCCCACCGGUGAAGAGUCGAGAAAAGAUUCAGAGUCUAAAUUGAUGUCUGAUCAUCGAACAGAGGUUGGUGGUGAAAGCAAUAAGGGAAGGGACAGAGACAGGGUUAGGAACAGGGACAGGGACACGGAUAGGGAGAAAGAGAGAACAAAGAGCAGAGAUCAUGAUAGAGGGCGAGAAUCUGAUAAGGAACAAGGACGCGCGGAUAGUGAAAGGGAAAGAGAUAAGGUCAAGGAAAGGGUUCACCAUUCGAGGGACAAAGGAAAAGACUCUGGACGUUUCGAGAAAUUAAAACAUCACUCUUCUCGAGAUCGAGAAUACCACAGCUCAUCUUACUCAUCAAGGGAGGACCGCCGCAAACAUCAUUCGUAUGCAUAAACUGAGUUGAAAGCACUUAGUCUCACUCGAUCAUACUAUAACGGCAUUCUUGGAAAAGUGUAAUGGUCAAUGAAGUGGAAUGAAAGAGGGAGCUUAUUCAUAUUCAAUGUUAGAUGAGUCAGUAUGCAACAACCGCAAGGAAAAAUGAGGUUAUGUCGUUCCAAUCAAUGAGAAAUUCAUGGAUGUAUGCAGAGUUGACGAAUUUUUGAAUUUAUCGACAUUGAGGGGGGAGAACUUAGGUUAUUCCUCUUGCUGUAUAUGAAACAAAAAAUUAAAUGCUCGUUUCUAACAUUUCAAAAUGAUGUAAUGAGAGAGAAGCAAAAAUUAUAAAAGAAAACAAAAGAAAGAGUAACCCAAUGAUGAGUCUAUUUUUACUACUUUUUA